GCUGGCUGUUCUGGAACAUCAUGUGUGGAAUCUUAGAAUGACACUGCUUUAGCUUGGCAUGAUUCUGAGAUUCAUCCCUGGUGGCUGCACCACUUUACAUUCUCAUCAAUUGGGAGUUAUAAUUACGGUUACCCUAUACCCUUGCCGUGCUUCAACCUUGUCAAUAUUUUUAGCUUAGCUUUGCUGGAUAAACAAUCUUGUUUUACUGU